AGGCCCGCGAAGAGUGGGAGCCGCAGCGGUUAGCGGUCCGCAGGCGCGAGCGCGGCACUCGAGUCACCCUUUCCCGGGCACUGCCGGAGCGGACUUUGUGACACCUGGAAGGAGCCGCGGUCAGGCCGGGCUGCCAGGCUCGACAGGAGGGGCAGGAUCAGGCGGGAUGGGAUUGGGGCGGGGAAGGCCGGGAGCGCCGGGCAGUGGCCCCCCCGAGUGGCUACGAAACCCCCGCGAUGCGACCCCCAACGAGCACCGAUGCCGGGGCGGGAGCCCGCGCGGGCCGGGGUCGUGCAGUCUCACCGACGGCCAGCGUGAUGAAGGCCACCUGGAUGAAGAGCGACAGCCAGCUCAACAGAUGGGGAAGCUGGAGCCAAAGGAAGUUGCCCUGGGUCUUGCACCUAGGAAGCUGCACAAUCAGGAGUUGGGGUGAUUUUAAUCGGUCAUCCUCCGGCCUAAUUCCCCUCUAGGCUGUUCUUUUGGGGUACGUUCUGCACCUUUGUAUCGCCUGCACCUCACCCCCUGCCGGGCACGCAGGGCGUCCGCUAGGCGCUGGAUGCAUUUACUACACCUCUGGGAGGGUUCCCUGAGGGGCACCUGGAACCGGUUAGUCCUUGUCAACAAGUCUCCCAUCUAGUGGCCGAGACAGGCAUGCAAAAUAAAGUAUGUAGAACAAGA